rnacentral:lncRNA from 1 species
GUGACCAUAUAAUUUACACCACACCAGGAGACUUUUGAGGUUGAAAGAGUGUAAUGGUAAUUCUCUACAACAGUUGGUAUAAACAUGGACUGUCCUGGGCAAACAAUAAUUUAGUGCCAUCAUCAUGUGAAGCCAGUGCAAUUAAAACUAACACUUUGUACGUUCAUCUCAUGAGGUAAAGUAAUAAUUCAGUCAUUUUAGACAGGGAAAAGUUAUAAUUUCUUCUUUACUGAGAUGAUGAAAAUCAUUUUUAAAUGCCUGUCAUAGGUUUUCUUACUCUUUCUUGUUCCCGCAAGAAAGUGUUUGUCAGAUGACAACCAAGAAGGAAGAUUUAAUCUACGUAAGAACACUCUGAAAAUUACAAAGUGUUAUGGAAACAUUGGUUAUAUUCUAUUAUUGAGCAAGGAGGCAAUUGAAUAGGAAGGCUGGGGUUUAGUCUGCUUUUCUGACCUUGGUUUUAACCCUGAGGUUUCUUUAUUUGAGUAAUAUUAAUCCCCCAAGAUGAAUUCCAAAGUUAAAAGUGAAAUACUUGAGUAAAAGUAAAUUACUUUAACAUUGUCUAUUCCAUUGUUAAAUUCUUUUUUAAAAAAUCUCAGUUAUCCACAAAGAAUUAACAGGUCAAAAACUAGAUUUUUAUGUAUUUAAUGGUAGGAAUGGUAUAACCUGUUUAUUUAGGGAGAACAAUAAAUUAUUUUUUAAAGAACAAGAUAAAGAUAUAACGUAGUUUUAUAAUCUUGGUUUUGGCUACAAAACAAUAUUGAUUUUAAGUUGAGAUUUAUUUUAAGUUGAGAUUACAUUUUAAUUCCUGUCUCAUUAAAUUAACUGGUAAUUCAUGAAACUCAGUAUAGUGUUUCUAAAUUUCAGCUACUCAUGUACCAUCUUCACAGUUUACCGUAGCCCUGUAUUACCUAUAAUGUUACUUUGUCUUUAAAUGA